CCAGUAGCUCAGUUGGUUAGAGCAUCCGGCUCAUAACCGGACGGUCCAGGGUUCGAGUCCCCGCUGGUC
rnacentral:tRNA from 1 species